rnacentral:rRNA from 1 species
CCUACGGGGCGCAGCAGUGGGGAAUAUUGGUCAAUGGGCGCAAGCCUGACCCAGCAACGCCGCGUGAAGGAAGAAGGCUUUCGGGUUGUAAACUUCUUUUCUGGGGGACGAACAAAUGACGGUACCCCAGGAAUAAGCCACGGCUAACUACGUGCCAGCAGCCGCGGUAAUACGUAGGUGGCAAGCGUUGUCCGGAUUUACUGGGUGUAAAGGGCGUGCAGCCGGGCUGACAAGUCAGAUGUGAAAUCCCGCGGCUCAACCGCGGAACUGCAUUUGAAACUGUCAUUCUUGAGUAACGG